rfam:Triticum aestivum genome assembly, contig: Triticum_aestivum_CS42_TGACv1_scaffold_572571_7AS
AUUCUACUCCCUCCGUUGCACAAUACAUGCCUUCUAUUUGUCAAAAUAUAUAUGUAUCUAGACAUGUCUUAGUAUAUAGGUACAUCCAUUUUUGGACAAAAGGAAGUCAAGUAUUUUGGAACGGAGGGAGUACACA